AGUUUUUAGUACGUAAGCGUCAUGGAUGGCGAAUCGUUCAUGCUGCUACUAAGAACUAGCGGUAUCUUCCGAAGAUUUUCU
rfam:Glossina austeni unplaced genomic scaffold Scaffold11, whole genome shotgun sequence.